rfam:Ovis aries breed Texel chromosome 2, whole genome shotgun sequence.
UCCCUGGUGGCUCAGAGGUUAAAGCGUCUGCCUGCAAUGCGGGAGACCUGGGUUUGAUCCCUGGGUCGGGAA